AUAUGGUCAAGUGAGUAAGCGCAUACGGUGGAUGCCUAGGCGGCAGAAGGCGAUGAAGGACGUGGUAGGCUGCGAUAAGCCUCGGGGAGUUGUCAAACUAGCUUUGAUCCGAGGAUUUCCGAAUGGGGGAACCCACCUCUUAGGAGGUAUCUGCAUCUGAAUACAUAGGGUGUAGAGGCGAACCCGGGGAACUGAAACAUCUAAGUACCCGGAGGAAAAGAAAUCAACCGAGAUUCCCUUAGUAGCGGCGAGCGAACGGGGAUUAGCCCUUAAGCGAUAGAGUGGUUAGUGGAACGGUCUGGAAAGUCCGGCGAUACAGGGUGAUAGCCCCGUACACGAAAGCCUAUUUAUCGUGAAAUCGAGUAGGGCGGGACACGUGAUAUCCUGUCUGAACAUGGGGGGACCAUCCUCCAAGGCUAAAUACUCUCUGCCGACCGAUAGUGAACCAGUACCGUGAGGGAAAGGCGAAAAGAACCCCGUUGAGGGGAGUGAAAUAGAACCUGAAACCGUAUGCGUACAAGCAGUGGGAGCCCCUUCGGGGGUGACUGCGUACCUUUUGUAUAAUGGGUCAGCGACUUACUUCUCAGUGGCAAGGUUAACCGUAUAGGGGAGCCGUAGGGAAACCGAGUCUUAAUAGGGCGCCAUAGUCGCUGGGAGUAGACCCGAAACCGGGCGAUCUACCCAUGGCCAGGGUGAAGGUGCGGUAACACGCGCUGGAGGCCCGAACCCACUUACGUUGAAAAGUGAGGGGAUGAGCUGUGGGUAGGAGUGAAAGGCUAAUCAAGCCCGGAGAUAGCUGGUUCUCCUCGAAAGCUAUUUAGGUAGCGCCUCGCGUCUCACUCCAGGGGGUAGAGCACUGUUUCGGCUAGGGGGCCAUCCCGGCUUACCAAACCGAUGCAAACUCCGAAUACCUGGAAGUGCAAUCGCGGGAGACACACGGCGGGUGCUAACGUCCGUCGUGGAAAGGGAAACAACCCAGACCGCCAGCUAAGGUCCCUAAAUCACAACUCAGUGGGAAACGAUGUGGGAAGGCAUAGACAGCUAGGAGGUUGGCUUAGAAGCAGCCAUCCUUUAAAGAAAGCGUAAUAGCUCACUAGUCGAGUCGGCCUGCGCGGAAGAUUUAACGGGGCUUAAGUUGUGUACCGAAGCUGCGGAUGCGUGUUUACACGCAUGGUAGAGGAGCGUUCUGUAAGCCUGCGAAGGUGUGUUGUAAAGCAUGCUGGAGGUAUCAGAAGUGCGAAUGCUGACAUGAGUAACGAUAAUGCGGGUGAGAGGCCCGCACGCCGAAAGCCCAAGGUUUCCUGCGCAACGCUAAUCGGCGCAGGGUUAGCCGGCCCCUAAGGCGAGGCCGAAAGGCGUAGUCGAUGGGAAUCAGGUUAAUAUUCCUGAGCCUGCAGGUGGUGACGAAUUCCGGUAGUUACUGUAUCGCGUUGGUUGUCGAUAUGGUGGCGUAGGAGUUCCAGGAAAUAGCCCCUGCAUAUAGACCGUACCCCAAACCGACACAGGUGGGCAGGAUGAGUAUUCCAAGGCGCUUGAGAGAACUCUGGUGAAGGAACUAGGCAAAAUGGUACCGUAACUUCGGGAGAAGGUACGCCCCUCGUAGUGCAAGCUAUGGGGGGCCGCAGAGACCAGGUGGCUGCGACUGUUUAUUAAAAACAUAGCACUCUGCAAACUCGAAAGAGGACGUAUAGGGUGUGACGCCUGCCCGGUGCCGGAAGGUUAAUUGAUGGGGUUAGCGCAAGCGAAGCUCUUGAUCGAAGCCCCGGUAAACGGCGGCCGUAACUAUAACGGUCCUAAGGUAGCGAAAUUCCUUGUCGGGUAAGUUCCGACCUGCACGAAUGGCGUAACGAUGGCCACACUGUCUCCACCAGAGACUCAGUGAAAUUGAACUCGCUGUUAAGAUGCAGUGUACCCGCGGCUAGACGGAAAGACCCCGUGAACCUUUACUACAGCUUUGCACUGGACUUUGAGCCUACUUGUGUAGGAUAGGUGGGAGGCUUUGAAACCGGAACGCCAGUUUCGGUGGAGCCAACCUUGAAAUACCACCCUGGUAUGUUUGAAGUUCUAACCUAGACCCGUUAUCCGGGUUGGGGACAGUGUAUGGUGGGUAGUUUGACUGGGGCGGUCUCCUCCCAAAGAGUAACGGAGGAGCACGAAGGUACCCUCAGCGCGGUCGGACAUCGCGCAAUGAGUGCAAAGGCAUAAGGGUGCUUGACUGCGAGACAGACACGUCGAGCAGGUACGAAAGUAGGUCUUAGUGAUCCGGUGGUUCUGUAUGGAAGGGCCAUCGCUCAACGGAUAAAAGGUACUCCGGGGAUAACAGGCUGAUACCGCCCAAGAGUUCAUAUCGACGGCGGUGUUUGGCACCUCGAUGUCGGCUCAUCACAUCCUGGGGCUGAAGUCGGUCCCAAGGGUAUGGCUGUUCGCCAUUUAAAGUGGUACGCGAGCUGGGUUUAGAACGUCGUGAGACAGUUCGGUCCCUAUCUGCCGUGGGCGUUCGAGAUUUGAGGGAAGCUGCUCCUAGUACGAGAGGACCGGAGUGGACGUAUCUCUGGUGUUCCGGUUGUCACGCCAGUGGCAUUGCCGGGUAGCUACAUACGGACAGGAUAACCGCUGAAAGCAUCUAAGCGGGAAGCCCCUCCCAAGAUUAGAUCUCGCUGGACCCUUGAGGUCCCUGAAGGUCCGUUAAAGACUAUGACGUUGAUAGGCUGGGUGUGGAAGCGCAGUAAUGUGUGAAGCUAACCAGUACUAAUUGACCGUGAGGCUUGACCAU
rnacentral:rRNA from 1 species